GGAUAACGCCCGGAAACGGGUGCUAAUACUGGAUAUUCACUGAUCUUCGCAUGGGGGUUGGUGGAAAGGUUUUUUCUGGUGGGGGAUGGGCUCGCGGCCUAUCAGCUUGUUGGUGAGGUGAUGGCCUACCAAGGCUUUGACGGGUAGCCGGCCUGAGAGGGUGACCGGUCACAUUGGGACUGAGAUACGGCCCAGACUCCUACGGGAGGCAGCAGUGGGGAAUAUUGCACAAUGGGCGAAAGCCUGAUGCAGCGACGCCGCGUGAGGGAUGGAGGCCUUCGGGUUGUAAACCUCUUUCGCUCAUGGUCAAGCCGCAACUUAGGGUUGUGGUGAGGGUAGUGGGUAAAGAAGCGCCGGCUAACUACGUGCCAGCAGCCGCGGUAAUACGUAGGGCGCGAGCGUUGUCCGGAAUUAUUGGGCGUAAAGGGCUUGUAGGCGGUUGGUCGCGUCUGCCGUGAAAUCCUCUGGCUUAACUGGGGGCGUGCGGUGGGUACGGGCUGACUUGAGUGCGGUAGGGGAGACUGGAACUCCUGGUGUAGCGGUGGAAUGCGCAGAUAUCAGGAAGAACACCGGUGGCGAAGGCGGGUCUCUGGGCCGUUACUGACGCUGAGGAGCGAAAGCGUGGGGAGCGAACAGGAUUAGAUACCCUGGUAGUCCACGCUGUAAACGUUGGGCACUAGGUGUGGGGGCCACCCGUGGUUUCUGCGCCGUAGCUAACGCUUUAAGUGCCCCGCCUGGGGAGUACGGCCGCAAGGCUAAAACUCAAAGGAAUUGACGGC
rnacentral:rRNA from 1 species